UGCACCUCUACCAUUUCGCAUAAAAUAAGAUUUUAUAUAAACAAUUGGACAAAUAUUCUCGAUUCCAAUAUAAAAUAACCAUGUUGUUUAUUUCGUGACUACGACUGAGUGAAUCAAGAAAUUUUCAUCUAUCUUCCAUCUGCUUAAAUUUUCUCUUAAAGAAAAGUCACAGUGUCCCAUAUUAUGGUACAAUCAUGGACAAUCUUUGCAAUUUUGAUCUCAAUUACUGUUCUAGUUAUUAUAACAGAAGUUGUGACAUCAUUAUUACCAAACGAUGUAUUUGCCAAGAACGAUGUAAAAAAGAAGCAUCAGACCGACUUGGAAAUCAGAUUUAUAAAGCUUCCGACAUUAGAAGAUAAUGUAUUUUUUUGGUUAGAAGUAGCUACAGGCAUAAUACUUGUCCUAUGUGUUAUUUUAACAUGCUAUUUGUGGUGUACUCAGAUUUCUUCCGGAAGACGGGUCAGACAUUUUAUCAUAAUUAAUUGGAAUCAUUUUGUUCGCCGACUUUCUCACUUUCGAAGACACCGCGGUGAAUAUCAUCCAACACGCCAGGAGCAAGAAAUGCACGAAAUUGUUGCACUAUAAAGGAAUCAAGGAAAACAUUCAAUAACAAAAAAAGUAAUGUCAGUGUUAACGAGUGAGAUAGAUAAAGAAGACGAAAUUACUAAAAUAAAAAUUCUGGAAAAGGCCUCACUAAAAAAUAAUCUGGAAUUCUUCUAAACGUUUAUGACAGACAAGGAAUGAUUUCGUAUGUAUAAUGAAAUAAAAACUGAUGUUAAUGUUAGU